rnacentral:lncRNA from 1 species
CCGUGAGGUUUGCAGAGCAAUCUGAGGGUUUAUAUGAGAGGGAAUUGGUUCUUUGUCAAUGAGUUCCCUUCAGCCUCUGGAGGUUGCUCUGAACUCUGUUAGCUCUUCUCUCACUUUCUUUUUCCUGCCAGGGUAAUAGGAACGACAUGUCUUUGUUUCACUGAAACUCUGAAUUUAUAACCUGGUUUUUGUGGACCUGUGGGCUCAAAUGAGAGAGGCCCAAGUCUAUUUUUUU